CCUACGGGAGGCAGCAGUGGGGAAUAUUGCACAAUGGGGGAAACCCUGAUGCAGCAACGCCGCGUGAAGGAAGACGGUUUUCGGAUUGUAAACCUCUUUUGUCAGGGAACAAAGGCGGGGACUAGUCCCCGGAUGAGGGUACCUGAAGAAAAAGCAUCGGCUAACUCCGUGCCAGCAGCCGCGGUAAUACGGAGGAUGCGAGCGUUAUCCGGAUUUAUUGGGUUUAAAGGGUGCGCAGGCGGCCUGUUAAGUCAGCGGUAAAAGCCCGGGGCUCAACCCCGGCGAGCCGUUGAAACUGGCGGGCUGGAGUUGGAGAGAAGUACGCGGAAUGCGCGGUGUAGCGGUGAAAUGCUUAGAUAUCGCGCAGAACCCCGAUUGCGAAGGCAGCGUACCGGCUCCACACUGACGCUGAGGCACGAAAGCGUGGGUAUCGAACAGGAUUAGAUACCCCUGUAGUC
rnacentral:rRNA from 1 species